rfam:Oesophagostomum dentatum strain OD-Hann O_dentatum-1.0_Cont728974.1, whole genome shotgun sequence.
GGUUUUCACCCAGCACCACAAGGUACUACGGGUGUCUGACCUUCCAUAGAGAUGCGUCACAAACCUAAAUUUUUGGAUCGCCUUCUCGGGGUAUCCGGGAGGGCAAC